rnacentral:rRNA from 1 species
UACGUAGGGGGCCAGCGUUGUUCGAAUUACUGGGUGUAAAGGGUUCGUAGGCGGUGUGGCAAGUUGGGAGUGAAAUCUCUGGGACUCAAACCCAGCACGACGGCGUUUCCGAAAACUGCCGUGCUUGAGUGUGGGAGAGGCUCGUGGAAUUGCAGGUGUAGCGGUGAAAUGCGUAGAUAUCUGCAGGAACACCCGUGGCGAAAGCGGCGCGCUGGACCACUACUGACGCUGAGGAACGAAAGCUAGGGGAGCAAACAGG